CACAAGUGCAAUCGAACAUGAAGAACAAUAUUGGCAAGAUAAAUUUUGUCAGCACAAUCAAAACUUAAUCAAAGUAGAAUUAGUUCAUGUCAAGAUCUUUGAUGGGACGAAUAUGGCAUACCGCGAAUAAAAAACGAAUUUUUGAACAAAAUUGGCAGCUAAACAAUUAUUUGUCCCGUGACAAGACUGAAAAGCAAAGAAAUCCGUAAAAGAAAACCUUUGGACAUAUAUACGAUAUUGACACGGCUGAUGGUCGAGUGGCGAUUGACUGAUGUAAAUGGCAAGAAUACGAGUGUGCAUAAUGUGGAGAGGCGGAGAAUCUUCACCAGAACUGGAAUCGAACGUUCAGAACAGAACAAUACAACCAAAAAGGCAUACCACGAAUGAAAAAUGACACUUGAAGAAAUAUUGGACGCUAAAGAAUAAUUGCUUGUCCCGGGAUAGAGUUGCAGUCGGACUUAAUGUACGGAGGAGACGACAAAUCUUCAUCACACAGCCAUCCCACAUUUAUCAAAACAAUGUAACUGAAAGUAUACAUCUAUGGAAAACGAAACAUAGCUGAAGGAAACUAAACCGUGGUGACUGAUGAAACUAAUAAUUUUGUGUCAACUAUUUUUGCGCACAUUGUUCAGUUUCAUGUAUUGCAACGUAACUUGAUGGAGAAGAGAUCGAAGUUUUACAUAGUCCCCAAGAUCCUCUUAAAAAUCGACUGACAAUCUAUACGAGAUUUACUUUGGUAUUUCGUCUAACUGUUCUAAUCUUGUGGAAUCAUGUCACCUAAUAAAACGCCUCUCAAAACUUUUAUGAUAUACUUCUGAGACUUUUGCUUACGAGUUUGCUCGGCACAAAAUCACGUUAUCACAACACUGAAUCACAAGGCCAAGGGCUCUCAAAGAUUUCGAUGCCGAAUGACUAUAAAUUUUAAGCGUUCAGACAAUUAAGUCUGCGCAAAAUGAAUAUAAUUUACACAACGAAAUAUUAUAUUUUUCCCGUGAUUUCCGGAAAUGUAGCCACCCUAAAUUAUUCGACGCGGCUUAGUUUUGACGACCUUUGUCACCCUUCCAGUAUCGUGAUAUGAUAUACUAAAUCGUAAAAUUUUGAUUAGAGGUCAUUGUACCGUGAUUAAUAUGUUAUCAAGAAUUCUAUCAUCAACCUUAAAAAAAAAAAACUACGAUAAUAAUCAUGCAAAGCAAUUCUCGCUUCAAUGUUAAUACAGCCAAAUUUCAUU